AUACGGAGGGUGCGAGCGUUGUUCGGAAUUAUUGGGCGUAAAGAGCAUGUAGGCGGUCUGUUAAGUCUGGUGUGAAAGCCCGGGGCUCAACCCCGGAAGUGCAUUGGAUACUGGCAGACUCGAGUAUGGGAGAGGAAAGCGGAAUUCCGAGUGUAGGAGUGAAAUCCGUAGAUAUUCGGAGGAACACCAGUGGCGAAGGCGGCUUUCUGGACCAAUACUGACGCUGAGAUGCGAAAGCGUGGGGAGCGAACAGGAUUAGAAACCCGGGUAGUCC
rnacentral:rRNA from 1 species